CAGCAGUAGGGAAUUUUCCACAAUGGACGAAAGUCUGAUGGAGCAACGCCGCGUGUGUGAAGAAGGUUUUCGGAUUGUAAAGCACUGUUGUAUGGGAAGAAUAAGGUGAGUAGGAAAUGGCUCAUUGAUGACGGUACCAUACGAGGAAGUCACGGCUAACUACGUGCCAGCAGCCGCGGUAAUACGUAGGUGGCAAGCGUUGUCCGGAAUUAUUGGGCGUAAAGGGCGUGUAGGCGGAUAGUCAAGUCUGGUGUGAAAGUUUGCAGCUUAACUGUAAAAUUGCAUUGGAAACUGAGUAUCUUGAGUAUCGGAGAGGAAAGCGGAAUUCCAUGUGUAGCGGUGAAAUGCGUAGAUAUAUGGAGGAACACCAGUGG
rnacentral:rRNA from 1 species